UAGGGAAUCUUCCACAAUGGGCGAAAGCCUGAUGGAGCGACGCCGCGUGCAGGAUGACGGCCUUCGGGUUGUAAACUGCUUUUAUAUGGGAAGAUUAUGACGGUACCAUAUGAAUAAGAGUUGGCUAACUCCGUGCCAGCAGCCGCGGUAAUACGGAGAACUCAAGCGUUACCCGGAAUCACUGGGCGUAAAGCGUUGCGUAGGCGGCUUUGCAAGUUAGGUCUUAAAGACCGAGGCUCAACCUCAGCAGCGGGCUUAAUACUACAAAGCUAGAGGAUGGCAGAGGUGAGUGGAAUUGCUGGUGUAGGAGUGAAAUCCGUAGAUAUCAGCAGGAACACCGAUGGCGAAGGCAGCUCACUGGACCAUUCCUGACGCUCAGGCACGAAAGCGUGGGGAGCGAACCG
rnacentral:rRNA from 1 species